rnacentral:ncRNA from 1 species
UAUGGCUGGUGCUGGCGUACGUUUGAGUAACCUGCAAAAGUUCCUGGAUAGCGGACUUAGCGAGGUUCACAGCUCAGCCAGCCGCCUCGUGACGUCACCGAUGCGUUAUCGUAAAGCCGGUGUCUCCAUGUGUUCCGAAGCCGAAAUGGAUGAGUUCAGCCGCUACUGCGUGGAUAGCGAUGUGGUGGAAGCCAUGAAAAGCGUGAUGCAGCUUAAUACCGUCAGGGUAGCCUGAAUCACCACAGAUUUUGCCGCGCAGCACGCCUUAUGACGUGAUGUUUGCAAGUACCAAACCCCAGUUAUCUUGCUGGGGUUCUUUU